rnacentral:rRNA from 1 species
AUUGAACGCUAGCGGGAUGCCUUACACAUGCAAGUCGAACGGCAGCGCGGACUUCGGUCUGGCGGCGAGUGGCGAACGGGUGAGUAAUGUAUCGGAACGUGCCCAGUAGCGGGGGAUAACUACUCGAAAGAGUAGCUAAUACCGCAUACGCCCUACGGGGGAAAGGGGGGGAUCGCAAGACCUCUCACUAUUGGAGCGGCCGAUAUCGGAUUAGCUAGUUGGUGAGGUAAAGGCUCACCAAGGCGACGAUCCGUAGCUGGUUUGAGAGGACGACCAGCCACACUGGGACUGAGACACGGCCCAGACUCCUACGGGAGGCAGCAGUGGGGAAUUUUGGACAAUGGGGGCAACCCUGAUCCAGCCAUUCCGCGUGUGCGAUGAAGGCCUUCGGGUUGUAAAGCACUUUUGGCAGGAAAGAAAUCGCACGGAUUAAUACUCUGUGUGGAUGACGGUACCUGCAGAAUAAGCACCGGCUAACUACGUGCCAGCAGCCGCCGCAG